UCGUCGUCGUCCCAAAUCCAAUCGCUAUCUCUUGUGGAGGAGAUAAAGGAGAAGGGGGACAGAGGAAAGAAGAGAGGGCACGGCGGCGGGAACCUAGCCUCCUCCAACGCGCGCCAGGACACACCGUCAGCGGCGUCGACAAGCGGCCCCACGCGCUCCACGCCCAGUAGGUCGCCGAACGCCGUGCAGGAGCUCACGGGACAGGCAGGGGAAAGGGCCCCACGCAAUGGAGGUCGUAGUCGACAUCGACGACGGCGAACGAUUGGAGGAUCACUUUGUGCGCGCUCUGGCUGGCGUUCUGGCUUGGAUCUCAACUUCUCUUCCACAUGUUCAUAGGAAAGGUGUUGCACUUGAUAGGUCAGUAGAUUUGUCAAAGUUUAGUGACGAUGAUGCAAACCAAAGCUGAGCUCGACGAGAUGUUUGGAUUUGACAGUAAACUGAUGUCUUCCAACAGAGAUUGGCAGAUGGUGUAUACAGAUAAUCAGGGUGACCUGAUUCUGGACUUUCAAUUGUAGUUCAAAUUGGCAGAUGGUGUAUACAUUCAAUUGUUCGCCUUGCUGUUUGUGCUCCACUCUUAACUGCAACCGUCUGACCCUGCUUCACUUGAGGUAUGUACUAUAGUUUCAGAAGAUGAAUAAUACCCAAUGCAUUGCUUCUCUGUUUCUCAAAUGUACUAUAAUUUAAUAUGCAAUCUGCAGUGUUGCACCACCUGAACAUUACAUGUAAUAAUGUUUAUACUUUCUGUAGAAGUUCCAAUAAAACUUCUCUUGAGAAGCUAGCACAUAAGGCAGUCAUAUUAGGUUUCAGACAUAGACAAUGCAGCUGGGAAUAUCAAUCAUAUAUUGGGUUUUAGACAUAAGCAAUGCAGCUAUGUAUAAAUAUAAAGGUAGAAUUGACUUGAAGUUGUUUCUUUGGCUGAGGUAGGAAGUAGGAAACGCGCAGCUUGAACUAGAGCAGAAAAACAUACUGAAAUUUUGUUGCAUCUUAGUACAUGCCCAGAGGUAUACCGCAUAUGUAGCAGGUGUACUGAAAUUUUGUUGCAUCUUAGUACAUGCCCAGAGGUAUACCGCAUAUGUAGCAGGUGGGGUUGUGUUGUUUCUUCUAUUUUCUUUUACACAGUCUAUUGACUGGUAGGAGGAUGAGAUGGAAGUUACCAAGUCACAAGCUUUCAAAGCAUACUUUUUCUUCUUCAGUAUUUAGGCAAUUACUCAAUUUUGAGGAGUUAUCCAUUCAAAAUCAAUGAAUAAGCUUGUUUCCCUCUUCAUAUCCCUUAUUCAUUGCAUCAUUUUCAAAAGAUUUACAGUCCUUUCACUGAAAUUAUCUCAAAGUGAAGACCAAGGACUCUGGGUGCAUACACAUGUUUUUAUUGUACCUAAUCUGUACCACUCACUGUGAGCUUUUUGUAAACUGUAGGAUAUCAUAGCCUGCUCUGCUAAACUGUAGGGGGAUUGGCAUAGCUUACUGCUUUUGUUGAACUGAAUUAGCAAAUAUAUGUUGCUUUUUAUUAGGAAAGUGAAAAAGAAACCAUUUGAUGUUGGGCCUAUCCCUCAGGUAGUGACAAUUCUGUUAACAAGCAUCAGAUAUUUUGUGAUGAGAGAAGUUGGAGAGUACUUAAUAGGUUUGAGGCACUAUUUUCAUUUGCUAUGUUGGGCAACCAUGAAAAAGUUGGGAUUGCAGUAAUCAAGCUAAAUCCAUUCAAGUGUGUUAACUGUUAUGCAUAUCAAUUUACAGUGUACAUGCACCAUUAGGUUUGGUCCUGUUUCUUCCUCUCAAGUUGGGUUUGGUGCUUUUUGUGUCCUUUACCAAAUAUGAAGUCUUUGGAGCUUGCCAGGACACACAAUUUGUAUGGCUGAUUAUAAGAGGUGAUUGUGUGGAUUGAGCUUUCAUGUUUCUGGUUGGCCUUGUGCAACUCAAUCCAAAACAAAUGUAAGACGGUAAUUGUGAAUAUUGUUAGUACUACAUGCCGGGUCAUGUGUUGUGCAAUUAAGGUUUUAUACUGGAAAUAAAGAAUAUUGCAUGCUGUUGA